rnacentral:rRNA from 1 species
UACGUAGGGGGCAAGCGUUGUCCGGAUUUAUUGGGCGUAAAGCGCUCGCAGGUGGUUCAUUGCGUCGUGCGUGAAAGACCCCGGCUCAACUGGGGAGGGUCGUGCGAUACGGGCGAACUGGAGGCCAGUAGGGGGAUGCGGAAUUCCGGGUGUAGUGGUGGAAUGCGUAGAGAUCCGGAGGAACACCAGCGGCGAAGGCGGCAUCCUGGACUGGUCCUGACACUCAGGAGCGAAAGCGUGGGGAGCGAUCCGG